AGGCACACUCGACGUAUCAAGCUGGCCAUAGAGUGUGCUUCAUGACACGUCAAGAAAGUUCUCACGUGGUUCUCUCGGUGAUGUACGUCAUCGAAUAAAUCUCGAGUGGUGACCAAGAUGCUGUAUUGGCGCAACGUACAUUACUUCGGGCUUUCUGUGGUUAGCGAGUUAGUCAACCAACAACGCUGAGAAAUAUCAAGAUUUAGUUCAUGUCGUCAUCCAUACUCUAUCCCCGGGCGUGAGAACCUCCCGGGCGGGCGACGCGAGCAUCCUUGGUUACGUAAUGGGUCGCUGUCUUGGUUCACCGCAGGAGGUGAUGUCACGCGCGGCGCGGAUGGUGAACGAGGCUUUAGAAACGUGGGAUGGUGUAGCUAGGGUGGCCGGAGAACGUGCAACACCUGGAGGAUUUUUUCGUUUCCGAGUGAUAAUGUUUGUGGUGUUGUCUGAAUGAGCGUACAAACAGCGUCUUGAGUGGGCGGCGCCGUGUCCCUCGGCGAUGCGGGGGAAGAGUGAAGGUCUUGGCUGAGGCAUCCAGGAAGUUAUCUUAAGGUAGUGGGUACUCGAGGCGGGAGAAAACGGGAAUUUGCUACGAGAGACCGAACGCUGCCGCUGCACACGAGCGUCCUUCAGAAACACCGGAACAGGAUAUCCGAUGAACGUGGACGAGCCAGUGUAAGCGGCGUUACUCCAAUAGAGCGAAGGUGGAAGGGACCUGCGCGGAGAACCUCCUCUUUUCUAACCUUGUCUUGCCAACGAAUGUCUAGAACAUGUCGAAGGCAGCGCAUGUGGUACACAUUUACUUGUCUCUGAUGUAAGCAUGGUCCAGAAGUGUGCAUAAGAUACAUACACUGUAGACUGAACAUUUUGUGUGAGAUAUUAGUUUUUAUUUUGCCACUUUCAGAGCCACUCUACCGACAAUGAAUACAGCACGUCCUAUCCUGUGGCUGAUUUCACAAGAUUCAGUUCAUUUGCCACGGUAGAGUCUAGGUAUGUGAAGUUGGAUUCGGCAUCAAGCUUGUAACUGUUAAUGGCAAAUGAGGUUGACCUUGGCUCAUAACAUUCGUCUUCGUCAAGUUAACAAUAAGGUUUAAGUCACUGCAGCCUUUGGCAAACGAAUCCAACAUGUGCUGCAAUUGUGGCUGGGAUUAUGCAACAAGUGCAGCAUUGUCAGCAAAAAUGUCUCUCACACUGAUGUGCCUCACCCUGGUUUUCGCUUUUAGACGAGAGAGGUUGAACAGGUCAUCAUUAGAUCUAGUCCAUAGACAGAUUCCAUCUGUUGAGUUGCCAAAAGCACCUCUAAGCAUAUCAGCAAAGAAGAUGCCAAAGAGAAUUGGUGCGAGGACACAUCCCUGCGUUACUCCACAGAGAAUGUCAAAACUUUAUCGACAAAGUACCACUGAACUACGCCUUGUACUGAACUAAGCCUAGCAUACAUAUGAUAAAUGAUCUUGUCAAGCUCAGGAGCUUGGACAAACAAUUUUUUGUAGAAUUUGAAAUAAUCCGUCUUGGCUCACAAUGUCGAAUGCCUCUGUAAGGCACUCCACUUCUCCUGAAGGAGAAAAUCAUGUCAAUGGCUGACCGUUCUUUCAGAAACCGCACUGAGAUACUGGGUAAAUCGGCUCAGGAAGCGCACAAGUAGCACACGGGCAAAUGUCUUGCCAACAUAACUCAAGAGACUAAUGCCUCAGGAAUUAUUGCAGUCGUCUUUGCUUUUAUAAAGGGUAAUGAUGUUGCAGUCGUGCAGCUCUUGAGGCACUGCUCCCUCCUGCUAAUACUGACAAAGAAGCUGGUGGAAUGAUCUGAGGAUGGUCAGUUUUGCACGCUUGAUGGUCUCUGGGGGAAUCCCAUCCAAUUCUAGUGUUUUCCACGAGGAAACAUGUCAAUAGCAAUAAUAAGUUCUUCCAUGAUAAGGAUGCUGUCAAGUUCCUCCAUGACUGGAAAAUCCUCGAAACCCAGAGCAAUGUCAGAGAUGUGACAUUCCAUGGAGUACAAUUCAGAGUAGUGCUACACCCACAUCUCUAGUUGGUCUCUAUCCGUGAGUAAGAUACCAUAUUUAGAUUUCAGAGGCGCUGGCCUUUGAUACUUACAAUGAUGCCUGAGUGUGUAAUGAAAGUAUCUAUCAGCACAUAUGCAGAAAUAUCUGGUUAUAAUAAACCUGUGAUGAGGAUUUUACAUUAAAUGCA